GUGAAUCAUCGAAUUUUUGAACGCAAAUUGCACUUUCUGGUAUUCCGGAAAGUAUGCCUGUUUGAGGGUCAGUUAAAUAAAAAUCGGUGUUGUUGCUGCCUUUCGUGGUGACGCGUCGGAAUUGGGUCGGCUUACCUUCGGUUACGUGACUUAAAAUUUUGUCAUGAUUUUCGAACGUAUUUAAAUCGCUUACGUACGUUGGAGAUAUCGAAUGCUUAUUAGUUUCGGUCAUUCCCAUGAUUCGCGCCUAUAAUUUUUCAUUAAAUUACCUCAAAUCAGGUAAGAAUAUCUGUUGAACUUA
rnacentral:misc_RNA from 1 species